UUUUUCUUCUGCUCUCAGUCUCUCUAUUCUUCUUCUUUCGAGAGUCCAUGAGAUUUAAUGGAGUGAAUUAAUCGAUUAAUCUGUGUGGUGGAUGAAGUUUGAGCGAUGGUGGUGGUGUUGAUGUUAUUUGAGUUCAAGAGAAGCAGUUGAUGCUGCUAUAACUGAAAUUAGGGUUUUGAGAAUGAAUUCGAGUUUAUAGGUGAUUUGAUGGGUUAAUUGAGCUGAGGAUAGAUGAAAAACACGAGGGUUGUAGAUGAAUUGUUGUAUUGAAGUUGAUUUGAGGAUGAAUCAAUGAGUUAGGGUUUCUCAAGAUGAACUGGAAGUUGGAUUAUUCAUGAGUAAGAAGAUUUAAGGAGUGGGUUUAGUCGAUUGAGAAACAGGGUGAAGAUAAUUGGAUAUUUCAGAGAUGUUCAUGCACAAAUGAAGAAUUAGGGUUCAUGUGUUCUUCCCAAACCAGAAAUUAGGUUUUCAGAAGAAUUGAUUUGGUGAUGUAGUUGUUCAGAGGGUGUUGAUGAUUGAGUAAGUCUAUAAACAAUCUUAAAUAUAGUAUUCUAAUUUGAACCGUUUUAAUUAUUGGAUUUAUGAAUAAGAACUGAGAUCGGAUAAGUUAAUUGAGCUAAUAGAGGUUCUGGUUGUGUAUGAUUGGAUUAAAGGAAUAUUAGGAUCUUACAGAUAUGGUGAAGGUGGUGACUGUGAAGAGAGUAUGUUUAAAUUAGGACUGAAUUGUCAUUGCAGAUGGAACAAGCUUGAUAUGGGUGAACCUUAGUUGCAGGAUUGUUUACUUAAGAAGUAUAAGAGUGAUUGGUGUUGGUAGUAUCCGUAUAGAGGUUGUGGAACUAAAUUGUCUGUGUAUGUGAAGUUUCAGGUAUUGUGGGGUGAAUUGGUAGUGAACUAUGAUAUCUGCAGGUAGGGAUGUAAUGGGUGGACGUACAGGGAAUGAUGUCGGGAGUAAUGGGUUGCUUGCACUAGUAGUGGUGAUGUUAUAGAAUCUGGUAGUGUUUGGGGGAUAAAUGGUGGAGUUGCAGUUAUGGUUUAGGUGGAUGGAAUGAACUGAGUUAUUAAUGAUGUUGUUCUGAAAUGAAUUGGAUGCUAAUGCAAGAUGUUGUAGAAGUGUAUCUAGAGAUGAAGUUACAGAUGGAUACUAAAUAGGUGUUAGUUGUACAUAGAGAUAUAUAUAGAGUUGGAUUAGUGGUGUUGUUAGCUGAAGUGAAAUGUUUGUAUGAUUGUGUUUGUAAGAAUGAAGGUUAGAUGAACUUUGGAGUUGAAUCUGUGCAGUGAGAGGCUUGCAGUUGCUUCCUAAAGUUAGUUAUUAACAACGAUUGAUUCAAAGGAUGAACCGGUGGAUCGUGGAUCUCGAGGUAGGCGUGGCUUGUCAUCAAAAGAGUUUCAGAGACAGAUAAGAGUUGCGCAGGAAAGCUUCGAGGAGUUGACUCCGUUAAAUAGUUAACUUCUGUUGUGUUUAUUAUGAUGUUUAUUUUUUUUGCAAACAAAAUGACUAUUGUAUAUGUAUCAUUUGAGAGAAGUUCUUGUAUAUAUAUUUCUG